rnacentral:rRNA from 1 species
UACGGGAGGCAGCAGUGGGGAAUAUUGCACAAUGGGCGCAAGCCUGAUGCAGCCAUGCCGCGUGUAUGAAGAAGGCCUUCGGGUUGUAAAGUACUUUCAGUCGUGAGGAAGGUGUUAAGGUUAAUAACCUUAGCAAUUGACGUUAGCGACAGAAGAAGCACCGGCUAACUCCGUGCCAGCAGCCGCGGUAAUACGGAGGGUGCGAGCGUUAAUCGGAAUUACUGGGCGUAAAGGGCACGCAGGCGGUUAAUUAAGUUGGAUGUGAAAUCCCCGGGCUUAACCUGGGAAUGGCAUUCAAGACUGGUUAGCUAGAGUCUUGUAGAGGGGGUAGAAUUCCAUGUGUAGCGGUGAAAUGCGUAGAGAUGUGGAGGAAUACCGGUGGCGAAGGCGGCCCCUGGCAAAGACUGACGCUCAUGUGCGAAAGCGUGGGGAGCGAAACAGGGAUUAGAUACC